GGUUAAGCGACUAAGCGUACACGGUGGAUGCCCUGGCAGUCAGAGGCGAUGAAGGACGUGCUAAUCUGCGAUAAGCGUCGGUGAGGUGAUAUGAACCGUUAUAACCGGCGAUUUCCGAAUGGGGAAACCCAGUGUGUUUCGAC
rnacentral:rRNA from 1 species